rnacentral:snoRNA from 1 species
CUUCAUCUGUUGAGCAGUUACUGUCUGCUGCUAAGGUUUCCACCACAGAUGUGAGAAGGAAAAUAUCCUCACCCUUUAUGGCUGUCUGAUUAUGGCAGCCAAAACUGAAUGGGGGAAUACAGGA